CUGGUGACCUGUGGCGUUGGCGCAGGCGCUAGGAGGCGUCCCGUCCCAGACAGGAGGAGGAGGAGGCUGUAGCCUGCGCGGUGGCUGGACUUGCUCGGGACUCGUGGCCGCUAAGGGACAGAUCUCCGGUCCUUGUGCUUGCGAGGCAGGCGACAGAACCACUGAGCUAAAUCCCCGGCCCACACCUGCUUUCUUUCCCUCCAGGGCCGCAGUGACUGCGCAACUUUUGCUGGAGUAGAAGCUGCUGGCCGG
rnacentral:lncRNA from 1 species